rnacentral:ribozyme from 12 species
CUUCUUCUUUUUUUUUUUUUUUUUUUUCCCCUCAUAUCUCAUAAUCUGUAACGAUAGCAUUGGCCAACAAAUGCAACAGCCAUAACGGACUCAUAUUCGAGGUUCCGUGCCUACGGAUAAUGUACAAUGCAAUUUAACCAUCUAAAUCUUUUAGCAUUCAAUAUAUUCUUUCGGCACGUCACACGACAAAUGAAAAAGUUAAGCUGGGGCACGUAAGGUGUUUCGAUUACAUCGUAUUUGAACC